rnacentral:rRNA from 1 species
AUUGAACGCUGGCGGCAGGCUUAACACAUGCAAGUCGGGCGAGCGGCGGAAGGGUGAGUAAUGUAUGGGAAUCUGCCAGAUGGAGGGGGAUAACUACUGGAAAAGGUAGCUAAUAACGCAUACCAUAGGAUGAACCCAUAUGGGAUUAGCUGGGUGGUGAGGUAAAGGCUCACCAAGGCGACGAUCCUUAGCUGUUUUGAGAGGAUGAACAGCCACACUGGUACUGAGACACGGCCCAGACGCCUACUGGAGGCAGCAGUGGGUAAUUUUGCACAAUGGGCGCAAGCCUGAUACAGCCAUGCCGCGUGUAUGACGAAGGCCUUCGGGUUGUAAAGUACUUUCAGUCGUGAGGCGGUACCUGCAGAAGAAGCACCGGCUAACUACGUGCCAGCCGCCGCGGUAAUAC